rnacentral:lncRNA from 1 species
CGGCUUAGCACCCAGCAGCAGGCUGACUCUGCAGACACUCAGAGGAGUCUUAUUUUCUUAAACCAUGGUGUGUAGUGGGUAACUCGUGUCUAGGAAAUGCACACAGGCUCCUUGCUAGAAAAUCUGAAUCUGUCCCUGAGACAUGACAAUAAUGAGUUCACAUGGGUGAUCCUUGAUUCCUCUCAAACAGAAAAUUACAGCCAUGUCAAAGAAAGGACUGUAUAGAAAUAGGUGGUUUUAAAGCGCUCACCCAAAUGAAGGGAGUGGGCUGACAGUGGCCUGAGAAAUGUGAUGUGCCAGCACUCUGUUAUCUUUAUGACCAAUGUGCUUCCUCCUCUCUUCAAACCUGACUCAGGAACAUCCUCGUGUUACAAGAGCAAGAUGAACGAGAACCCAGGGUACAGUUCUGUUUUUGCGUGCAAGGAGCUCUUGUGUUUGCAAGUGGCCCUUUUCCUUGGCUGUGGAGCAGAAGCCAGCUUUCGCCCACUGAUCUGUGGGACAUGUGCUUGGAGGCUGGGAGAGCAGCCGUCUCAUGAUACCCAUGAAGAAUGGGGAUGCAGAGGUGAUAAAGGGCACCAAAGCCAGGAAGAAGAAGUUUUAUUUUGGGAGAAUCUACUGCUCAGUAUUGUG